rnacentral:pre_miRNA from 1 species
AGCUUUUUGGAUCCGUGCUGAGAUUUUGUCAGACACCAACCCCUUAGAGUUGAUCGGACUUCCAAGAUAAGUGAAGUU